CCUGCCUUCACUAACUGUUUGACUCACUUCUGUUCUCAACUAUACCCCAGUCUGGACACACAGGCUGAGCUGAGGCUCCAGGUCCGCAGCUAGGCCCGGGCACCUGAUGGUGAAAACGGUGGAGAUGGCGACGCGGUGAAUUUGGUCCCAGCACAGGAUGCUGUAACAGCAACAGCGGCGGCUGUAUUGGUGAGGUCGCCCCAGUGUGAACUCAUGGCGGUGGUAGAGUUGGUGGAGGUGAGAUGGCAUGGGAGAGCGGCGACGUUUUGUUCCAGUGGCGAUGCUGUGGUGAAGCACGGUUAUAACGGCACAGACUGUUUAGCCGCAGGGACUCGAGGCAUCGAGGUGGAGGAAUCCAGAUCCAGGCUCAGAGCUGAGCUAGAAGCAGAAGCUGUUCCAAAAAUUACCUCACGUUAUUCAGAUCAGCCUAUAAGCCUGUGGUUAUGACCUGGAAUGCGCUGCCUGAGAAGACGGUGGAAGCAGAUUCAUUCAUAACUUUCGAAAGAUAAAUAUUCGAUGUAGAAAAAUGUGCACAGAUAUAUACAGCAAUGGUAGGAGGAGUCCAUCUGACUGGCACAAACCCCUAUGAAAGAGUCUGUGCGACAUCCACACAGAGAGAAAGCCUGGAGCUCGCACUCCUGGGAUGGCACAUCCAUGAGAAGAGCGACCUCUACUGAUUUCUGUUGGAAAAUAUGACUUUUCCCUUCUGACAUCAAGAAACACCUCAUUGGACCUCUUUGUCAUGCGGUUCUCCUAGAUUUCUCUCUAAAGCCCACAUCAUUCAGAAAUAAAAUUCCACCUGAAGUGUGUUGAGGGAAUAAGAAGCUGACCUUUCCCGAGAUAUUCAGCCUUGUUUUGGAAAAUGUUCACAAUCCGUGUUUUUGCAGCACCCUAACUGGAAUCUUGGUGAACAGGAUCUUCCUGUAUUGAGUGAUGUUCCAUUAUCAAAUCACUGAUACAGUUAUAAGUGUGCUAACAUCGCAUUUACAGGUUAAUUCACAAGGUAAAAGCCCUCACAUUUGAGAGUGUGUUAGAUAGAUUUGCUACUUAGAAGUUUUGGAGAAAGUGAGGACUAGAUUAGAGU